UACGUAGGGUGCAAGCGUUGUCCGGAAUUAUUGGGCGUAAAGGGCUCGUAGGCGGUUUUGCAAGUGACGGGUGAAAUCCCUCGGCUUAACCGAGGAACUGCCUGUCAAACUGCAUGGCUUGAGACCAGGAGAGGUGAGUGGAAUUCCCAGUGUAGCGGUGAAAUGCGUAGAUAUUGGGAGGAACACCAGUGGCGAAGGCGGCUCACUGGACUGGUACUGACGCUGAUGCGCGAAAGCGUGGGGAGCAAACAGG
rnacentral:rRNA from 1 species